GUAUUUUGGGGUUUGAUUUUGUUGUGUGUUUCUUUCCAUCAAACCCAACAUGACAUGUAAAUGCUUAUUUGGAUUUUUUUUUUCUGGAAAGUAGAUUCAUUUGGAGAAUAAUAUGUUUGUAUGUUUGAGUGAAUUUUAGCGUGAGAUGCUUUUUGCUGUAAAGUUGCCACCCUUUUAUUACCUAAUAAUUAAGACCCCCCCUUUUUUUUAUGAAAGUUAAUUUGUCCUUUCGACAUGGCUUAUCAGAUGCUAUUAAUGAACCACUAUUAAGACGGCAAGGCUGCAGUACCCAGGGCCCUGAUUACAGGAAUUAAAAUAGUGUGUGUUGGCUCCCUGCUGCUCCCCAGCAGGACCGCUCACUCAUAAUUCCUUUGCAUCUAGUCUCAGCAGGAGAAGAUUGACAGCAUUGCAGACCAUGUCAACAGUGCUGCUGUGAAUGUUGAAGAGGGAACCAAAAACUUAGGGAAGGCUGCAAAAUACAAGCUGGCAGCUCUGCCUGUGGCAGGUGCACUCAUCGGAGGAAUGGUAGGGGGUCCUAUUGGCCUCCUUGCAGGCUUCAAAGUGGCAGGAAUUGCAGCUGCACUUGGUGGUGGGGUGUUGGGCUUCACAGGUGGAAAAUUGAUACAAAGAAAGAAACAGAAAAUGAUGGAGAAGCUCACUUCCAGCUGUCCAGAUCUUCCCAGCCAAACUGACAAGAAAUGCAGUUAAAAACCAAACUUCAGUAUUAUUGGUGCCAACAUGUCUAUCCUGAGAACCUUUGCUGCUGUUGGACACUCCGUCACGUUUUGGAACACAAGUAUAUCAAGAUAGUGGCUACUGAUGUUCAAAUGGGAUUGAAGUGUGAUAAAUGGAUAUA
rnacentral:sRNA from 1 species